GCUCAGCAGCUCUACAAGCCUGGUCUCUCCACUGAGUGACUUAGGGAGUCCGUUUUGGGCUCUGCAUCUCAACAUGUGACAUCUAUAGUCACUGUUCAAAGGGAAUCGAGUGGAGAUGGCUCAUGGACUUUUAAAUACUCUGCCUCAAAAAUGAUACUUGUUAUUUCUGCUCACCGUAUCAUUGUCUGGAGCGAGUCAUACAGCCCCACUCCCUGUACCAUGUCCAAUAACACAGGGAGUAUGUCUGGCUGCCACAGUGUCAACAGUUUCUCCUUAAAAAUUAUCAAGGAGUAACAUGUGAGGGAAAGAUGGUGAACCAGGUGCUAAAUUCGUCAAAGAAUGAAGGGAAUUCACCCAGAAGGUCAGAUGUGACUACAACAAAAGAAUGAGCAGGUCGUAGAGACUGUUGGCAUGAGAAGCCAGGGAACUGUGGGCUCAUCUGCUAGAAAUUGCCUUCUCUUUAUACUAAACCGUCUGAAAGCUGUGUACAUGACAUCAAAUAUCUGGAUAUGAAUGAAAUAAUCAUCAAGAUCUUUCCUAAGGCAUUACAUCUUAAGCUACUCAGAAAUCGGCUGUUGAUGAAUCUGAUUAAUACAGAGUUAGCCAUGUUUCCUUAGAGGACCACCAGGUUUUAAAGAACGAAAAUAUGGGAAUAAUAAAACCUUACUGAACAUAAUUUAUUCUUUCUUUGACAAUUUAGAAGGCAUCUUUAGCUCCCAUGGUGACUUAGGGACAUGCCUAUGAACAUCAAUUACAGUUGAACUGCAGAUAUGCAAGGCAAUAACUCAUGUGGGCUCUCUGCACACUUGGAGCUGAAGCAGGGCCUUAGGAAGAGUAAUGACGGUGGAGAAUGGAAGGGUCAAGAGCUGGGGAAACUAACCAGGUGGCAGGACUUACUCCCAAGAGUAAAACCAGCAGUUGAAAUAAUAAAGUUCAGGGAGGUGAGGAACUGGGUUUCAAACAGGGCUGAUACAUACAUCUAGGAGGUACCCUCCAGGUGCUGGGAAUACGAGACCAGAAAUCUCCAUUUACCAUGCAGGCAGAUCAUAUGUCUCCAAUCUAAUAGGUUAAUUGGUUGGAAGCAGAUAUGGAGUAUCCAAGUAUUGGGAUUUCUUUCUAAGUUGUGGUUUAUUAACCUGGGGCUGGGCCUUUCAAAGGACCAAGCAAGCUAGUAAUCAUUGUGAAGUCCAGGAUAGGGGUCUGAUUUUACCAGGAAAUUGAAAGGCAAACCAGGAAACCAGGGAGUUAAGCGCAGGAGGAGAGGUGGGAAGAAGGGGCCUGCGCUUAAUGAGCAUCCCAGAUCUCCCGCUCCAGCCAGCACGUUGAUUCCAGAGUACAGUCACCUGGAGACGAGACGCCGCCUCUACUGUGGUUUCAAGGGGAAGGAGACAGAAAAGUAAGGAGGAGAAAAUGUCUUGGUUGGCUUUGGGUAGGGCUUAGCCUCGGGCUCAUUUUCUUGGGAGGCAGGGAGGGACAGGUUGGAGAAUGAAGGAACUGACGUGCAGAAAUGUAAGGCAAGGAAAAUUCAGAUUUACUCUACUGGAAUGUCAGAAGUGUUCUCUGCAGAGGCUGCAGGAUUCCAUACCCCACCCCAUCUGUUUCCCAAGGACUGUAGUUCUGCCCCUCUGUUCCGAGGCUAGGCCAAUACUCAAGUUAGGGUAACGGAAGAAGAUAGUUUUUGUAAUGCAACUUCAUUCACAAAAAAGAGUCAAAGAAUGUUUUUAGUUUAAUCAGGGAUUUACUUAAAUUCUUAUUUGUCUUAUAGGUGUUCGGCCUGUCUUAGUUCCUUUCCUAAAACCUCAUGAAUUUAAAUCUCCUGCUGUCUCCGAAAACCAGAUGGAACUGAACCUGGACGGAAGAACUGAGGGCAGAAGGAAACAAGGUCUUGCUCUGUUACCCAGACUGGAACGCAGUGGUGCAUUCAUAGUUCACCGCAGCCUCGAAAUCCUCGUCCUAAGUGAUCCUCCAGCCCUGGCCUCCCCACGUGCUGGGAUUACAGGCCUCGGAUGCUUCUCUAAAGGCUGAUCUUGGUCAGGCUGUUGGCUCCACUCUGCCCCAGCGAAAUCCAUCCUUGCCCACUAACUGCAGCCUCAUGCUCUCUGCAUCUGGAUCCCUACUCAGAAUGCUUGCACGUAUCAGGGCGAUAAGAGGCGGUCCCUCGGUGUCCAGGCUCUGUGCCCGUAUGUCAGAAAGGAGGCAUAUUUUUUGGCUUUUGAAGAUCUUCUGCUUUGAACAGAUGAGGAAACUGAAACCCACAGAGAUUAAGUAACAUCCUCAAGAUCAAAAAGGUAACAAACAAUGGAGGCAGAAUUCAGACAUUGCUCUACAUGAGGCCAAAGCCUGUGCUCGUGGAAUUACAGUCAGAGUACAACAGCUCAAGAUCAAAGCAUCACAUCUAAGUCAAGGAAAAUCAGUACAGAGGUUUGGACAGACCAACAGCGUCAACUCCAGGUACUGGGUCAGCAGAAAUGGCCCCAUUGAGCAGCAUUGAGAUUGCAGGAUCACACAUCACAGGCUGCUUCCUCUUUGGUUCUGAGCAUUGGCCUCAUGUCCACUCAAAGUAAAUGGCCCCUCUGAUUGGAAUCAGAGGUGUCUGGGUCAUCUCACAGAGCCAAACAAAUAUGACUUGCUGUUACAAAGCCUUUCGGGAAUUAUUCCCAGUGUAAUAAACACAUAGUCAUAUAGCAAGCUUUGAUAAAGUCCAAAAACAAGGGAAUGUGGAGUAUCUAAGAGAAAAGAUUAGAAUGUAAAUGAAAAGCCAAAUAAACUGGGGCAAACUAUAGGAUAGAGCCCUGUGUGUGGUGGCCUGCUUAUGACAAGCCAUAGUAAAAGGAUGGUGAAUUCUGGAUAAUAAGAAAUGUCAGUGAGAUGGAAAGAACCACCUGUUUUAUGUAAAACUCCAAAUAACCAGAUCACACUGGACAGCCACUCAAAUAAUGCCUUCAUAAUACAGAGUAUUACUGAGAAUAACUCAAUUCACAGGGAGCUUAAGGCAGCCAACAUUUGAUAGCCUGUCAGAAAAAACAGAACAGUAAUUACUGAAAAGAAUCAAAUCCUCGGAAAAACAAAAAUUAAUCAAACUAAGUUUGUAAAGCCUAUCUUACAGACACAUUGUCUGGACUGGUCCUCUCAAAAGUACUUUUUUUUAAAAUUGUAUGCCAAUUUACUUAGUUAAUUUAAUGAUUUUUGUCUGAUUACUUCGAAACUGGAAAUACACUAUGACUCAUAACAUCUUAUAACCUUUCUACUUUCUUAAAGAAUCGCAAGUUUAUAAUGACAGGAUUAUUUUUCAAAAAUUAAGCGAUAAUGUAAUGAUUUCUGUGUGUAUUGUAGAAAAAUCAACCUUAUGACAACUGCAGCAGCUGCAUUAAGACAUCUGAGUAAUUCCAGUCAACUUGAGAUCAUGUGUAAUCAAACACAAAUACAACUGAUAAAUUUCAUUAAGCAGUGUGGAGAUUAAACUAACACACAAUUAUGUAAUAAAAUCCUUUAGAAGGACUAAAAUGUUAGAAUAAUUCAGAUAUACCUAAAAAUUUCAAAGAUACACAGAACUCCCAUUUUUCCCUAUUACUAACAACUCCUAUUUGUCACAAUUAAUGAAUAAUCAAUAGAGUAUUAUUAACUAAAGCCCAUACUUCACUGGAUUUGCUUCGUUUUCAGCUAACGUCCCUUUUCUUUGUUCCAGGGUCCCAUGCAGGCUACCACAUUAUUUAUUUGUCAUUUUAAGCAUGUCUUGGCUGUGAGUUUCUCAGACUUCCUUGUUUUUGAUGACCCUGACAGUUGGAGGGAGGACUCGUCAGUUAUUUUUGUACAAUGCCCUAAAUUUGAGUCUGGCUGAUGUUUUUCUUAGGGGUUGACUGAGGUUACGGAUUUUGGGAAGGAUGACCACAGAGGUAAAGUACCGUUCUCACGAAAUGAUCUUAAAACUACAUCCCCUCAGCUUGCCUUAUACUAUUGGUGUGACCGUUCGUCACCUGGCUGCGGUAACGUUUGUCACGUUUCUCCACUGUAAAGUUACUCUUCUCAUCACCCACUUUUCUGAACUGUCCUCUUCGGAAGAAAGUCACUAUAUGCAUCCCAAACUUAAGGAGUGGGAAGUUCUGUUCUAUCCACUUGUAAGCAGAAUAUCUAUGUAAAUUGUUUGGCAUUCUGCUGCAUGGGAAAAUUAUCUCACUCUCCCAUUUAGUUGAUCAUUUUUCUUAUCAGUAUGGGCUCAUGGGUAUUUCUUUUAUACUUUGGGUCAUAAUCCAAUACUAACACAACAAAUUUUUUAUGGAGGUGCA